GACUGCCAAGGAAUACCCUAAAAGGCAUCAGAUUCCAUCUGAUCUCGGAAGCUAAGCAGGGUCAACCCCAAUUAGUACUUGGAGGGGGUGCCAUCAAUGAAUCCCAGGUGCUAUAGCAGGCA
rfam:Anolis carolinensis unplaced genomic scaffold chrTn0168, whole genome shotgun sequence.